AUAAAGACUGAGAAGAUUGACUCAAGAACCAAUUUGAUUCUGAGCUCCAUUGUAGAAUUCGGACCUAACCAUUAAGUUAGAAGUGAUGGGAACGACGGAACUUGUGAAUGCAAAAGAUUCUAUUGAAAAAGGAAUCUUAAUGAUUCACUGGUCGGGAUGGCGGAACGAACCAUAGAUUAAUUCAUGUAUUCUGAGAUCU
rnacentral:lncRNA from 1 species